CAGCCGCCGCGGGAAUACGAAGGGUGCAAGCGUUAAUCGGAAUUACUGGGCGUAAAGCGUGCGUAGGCGGUUUGUUAAGUCUGUUGUGAAAUCCCUGGGCUCAACCUGGGAAUGGCAAUGGAUACUGGCAAGCUAGAGUGUGUCAGAGGAUGGUGGAAUUCCCGGUGUAGCGGUGAAAUGCGUAGAGAUCGGGAGGAACAUCAGUGGCGAAGGCGGCCAUCUGGGACAACACUGGCGCUGAGGCACGAAAGCGUGGGGAGCAAACAGGAUUAGAUACCCCAGUAGUCCCUGUCUCUUAUAA
rnacentral:rRNA from 1 species